rnacentral:rRNA from 1 species
UACGUAGGGUGCGAGCGUUAAUCGGAAUUACUGGGCGUAAAGCGUGCGCAGGCGGUUUUGUAAGCCAGAUGUGAAAUCCCCGGGCUCAACCUGGGAACUGCAUUUGUGACUGCAAGGCUAGAGUACGGUAGAGGGGGAUGGAAUUCCACGUGUAGCAGUGAAAUGCGUAGAUAUGCGGAGGAACACCGAUGGCGAAGGCAGGUCUCUGGGCUGACACUGACGCUCAUGCACGAAAGCGUGGGGAGCAAACAGG